rnacentral:tRNA from 1 species
GGAAAUUUAGGUUAACCUUUAAACCAAGGGCCUUCAAAGCCCUAAACACGAGACACACACUCCUAAUUUCCG